GGCAUCCGAGCGCAGCGCUCUUCCGCGGAACCACGCGGGUGCAGCUGAGCUCAGGGACUGCCGAAAGUGAAAGUGGCAUCACGGAAAUAACCAGUACUGUGGCUUGGUUACCGCCGAUCCUACAGCGAGGCGCAAAGUGCUUAUGACACCAAAGGUCCUGAAACAAAAGUCUCUCAAGGCAACACAGCUCCGGGUGGCCCUUGCUUUGACGCGGAGUGAGACUUUGAGAUCGCAAAACCCAAAACAGGCCUCUCACAGGAAACAUCCUGACCAGACCCACCAGUGAAUGACUACAAGAAAGAAGAAACUAGCACAUUCCCACCAAAGUCUGCCUGGAACCAGGACUUUACCCCCUCCCCUUUUAGUAUAGAAGAAGCCUGAAUUCUAAUUCGGAGAAGAUUGUGGACCCCAGGACCACAUCUCACUCUUCUGCUACAUCCUCUUCCACACCUUGCCUGGUGCCAGGCCCAGAGGGAUGCACCCUAAACCUGAAUCAAAUUGCAAAGCCUAACAGAUGCCAGUGGAAGGAUUUGGUGGGAUUUAAUAGCAACCUAUGAACUUGGGAAGCUAGAGAGUAAGGGAGAAUGAGUCUUUCCUAUUAUUCAAAUUGUCAGAGUUGCUUUCCUUCCAUAUUCUUGUGUUGAAAUCACUGCUAGAAACCUUUCUUGUCUAAAACAGGUAAGUAACCACCUUCAAACAGCCAGGGCAUCUCUCUAAAGCUGCCAGGACCAUAUGUAGAGUUUUAAUGGCAACAGGCCACUGAUACCUUUUUCUUCCAUUCCACCUGGGGAAAAAUCCCCCAAGCCUACUUUACUCUGAGGCCAAUGGACAGAUAUGCGAAGGUCCACCUGUCAGUGUGGGCUGCUGGAGGGAGGAUGUGGCUACUGAGUGUCUCAGAGCUGACUGCACGGAAGACAGCCCAGGCCUGGCUCUCUCAUCACACAUAGGAGCAGGACAGGUCUGCCCAUCCAGCCUGAGCCUCCCUGUGUGGCAUCGCCAAGCUGGGGGCUAUUUCCUCCCUUGCAGACCUGGAAGCAGUGAGUCUGACAGUGACAGCAAUCUGCCCUGACAAUCAGGUAUGAACACAGGUGGGAAGACCGAAACACCUGCCCCUUCCCAUGAGUACUGGGGCAGACGUGCAGCAGUGACGCCCCUUCCAGAAGCAAGGACACCUUCUUACCCCUUUGGUGACAUUUGCCUCUUGUAGAAGGGGCACUGCCCCGGGAAGGGCACAUGCCUUAGAUCAUAUAGUCGCAGGCAGUGGGGGACUCUUGGUCUGUGGCUCUAACCCACAGCUUUGCCCAUUGGGCCACACCACCCCGCUACUGCCUGUCACCUGUGCUAUCAUCAGCUCCAACUGCUCUAUCUAGAAAGUGCUUCUCUCUCAUUCUCGCUUUUCUUUUUUUGUUCCCUGGGUCUAUUUGUUUUUGUUGUUUCUUAUUUUGUUCCAGGCACCCUUGUUGGGGAAGUAGACCAGGGAGGCCCCAGAUACCUGGGCUGGGUGGACUGCUAUCUCUGGUCGACACAUCUGCCUGCAGGGCUCGCUCCUCCCUCACAGCUGGCAGCUGCCCACCGGGAGAUGGCUGCGGCUUGGAAUCUGCAGCGGCCCAGCUGAGGGCUGGCUCCCCGCCCCUGCAGGUGGUGGAGAUGACGCCUCUGGAGUGCCAAGCCUCCCCCACAUCACCCCAACACACGCAGGGCCCUACAGCCCAUUUCUUCUCUCCUCCUGUGGUUUCUUCUUGCUGCUGUUUGGUCAAGAAGAGAGGAAAGACCCCGAGGCUGCACCCUGUUAUUAGGCGACAGUCAUUUACAUCCUCGAGCUCUAAGUCAGGGGUCAGGAAUGAACCCAAAAGUAGGCAUCGCUGGGGAGAACUGAGCACACCUGCUCGGUUUGGGCAGGGCAGGCGGAGGUGGUCGUGGAGCCCAAGACCCUUCCCGUCCGCCUCCCGUGCCUCAGUUUUCCCAUCUGAACCAUCUUCUCCAAAACAACUUACUGCUCUCAGAGCAGAAAAAUUGGAAGAACCUGAAAUAUUUAAAGAAAGAAAUCACCCACAAUUCUGCCAUUAAUAUCUUGCUGUUUUCAUCUAUCUUUUUUAUAUAACUGAAUCACCCUGCCUAUGCAAUGAUGGAGCCUGUUUUUAAACAACAACCUUUCCAUGAUGAACAAGUCAUACAUGUUCAUUAUGGAACAUUCAGAAAAUUCAAACACAAAGAAGGAAAAUGACUUUUUGUUGCUCCCUUGAGAAAUAACGAACAGUAAUGUUUUGAUGUUGUCUUUCUGGUCUUUUUAAUAAGCAUGAUAUACCAAAAGGAAAAAUAACGCACAGUAUUCACACUUUCCAUACUUUUGGGCAAAUUUUCCUUUUUCCCUUAACUCAGCGUGAAUAAUUUUUAUAUUAUUAUAUGUUCUUUUGCCUCAUUUAUGAUGACAGAA